GAUGAACGCUGGCGGCGUGCCUAACACAUGCAAGUCGAACGAAGCUUGACGGAUGAUUUCUUCGGAAUGAAACCAGAUAUGACUUAGUGGCGGACGGGUGAGUAACACGUGAGCAACCUGCCUUUCAGAGGGGGAUAACGGCUGGAAACGGUCGCUAAUACCGCAUGAUGUGUUCGGAUGGCAUCAUCUGAACAUCAAAGAUUUAUCGCUGAAAGAUGGGCUCGCGUCUGAUUAGAUAGUUGGUGGGGUAACGGCCUACCAAGUCUACGAUCAGUAGCCGGACUGAGAGGUUGAACGGCCACAUUGGGACUGAGAUACGGCCCAGACUCCUACGGGAGGCAGCAGUGGGGAAUAUUGCACAAUGGGGGAAACCCUGAUGCAGCAACGCCGCGUGAAGGAUGACGUUUUUCGGAUUGUAAACUUCUUUUCUUAGUGACGAAGACAGUGACGGUAGCUAAGGAAUAAGCAUCGGCUAACUACGUG
rnacentral:rRNA from 1 species